GACGAACGCUGGCGGCGUGCCUAAUACAUGCAAGUAGAACGCUGAAGGAGGAGCUUGCUUCUCCGGAUGAGUUGCGAACGGGUGAGUAACGCGUAGGUAACCUGCCUGGUAGCGGGGGAUAACUAUUGGAAACGAUAGCUAAUACCGCAUAACAGUAGAUAUUGCAUGAUAUCUGCUUGAAAGGUGCAAUUGCAUCACUACCAGAUGGACCUGCGUUGUAUUAGCUAGUUGGUGAGGUAACGGCUCACCAAGGCGACGAUACAUAGCCGACCUGAGAGGGGGGUCGGCCGCACUGGGACUGGGACACGGCCCAGAGUCCUACGGGAGGCAGCAGUAGGGUAUCUUCGGCAAUGGACGGAAGUCUGACCGAGCAACGCCGCGUGAGUGGAGAAGGUUUUCGGAUCGUAAAGCUCUGUUGUAAGAGAAGAACGAGUGUGAGAGUGGAAAGUUCACACUGUGACGGUAUCUUACCAGAAAGGGACGGCUAACUACGUG
rnacentral:rRNA from 1 species